GGGGCUGUAGUUCAACAGCAGAGCACUUGCCUCGCAUGCAUGAGGCACUGAGUUCAAUCCUCAGCUCCA
rfam:Ictidomys tridecemlineatus contig019908, whole genome shotgun sequence.